GAUCAUGGCUCAGGACGAACGCUGGCGGCGUGCCUAACACAUGCAAGUCGAGCGGGGACUUGAUCAUGAAGUUUCGGAUGGAUUGGUCAAGUUCUAGCGGCGGACGGGUGAGUAACGCGUGAGCAACCUGCCUUCUACUGGGGAAUAACGCAGCGAAAGUUGUGCUAAUACCGCAUGAGACCACAGUGCCACAUGACACAGGGGUCAAAGAUUUAUCGGUAGAAGAUGGGCUCGCGUCUGAUUAGCUAGUUGGUGAGGUAACGGCCCACCAAGGCGACGAUCAGUAGCCGACCUGAGAGGGUGAUCGGCCACAUUGGAACUGAGAAACGGUCCAAACUCCUACGGGAGGCAGCAGUGGGGAAUAUUGGGCAAUGGGCGCAAGCCUGACCCAGCAACGCCGCGUGAAGGAAGAAGGUUUUCGGAUCGUAAACUUCUAUCCUUGGUGAAGAUAAUGACGGUAGCCGAGAAGGAAGCCCCGGCUAACUACGUG
rnacentral:rRNA from 1 species